CCUACGGGUGGCAGCAGUCGAGAAUCAUUCACAAUGGGGGAAACCCUGAUGGUGCGACGCCGCGUGGGGGAAUGAAGGUCUUCGGUUUGUAAACUCCUGUCAUGUGGGAGCAAAUUAAAAAGAUAGUACCACAAGAGGAAGAGACGGCUAACUCUGUGCCAGCAGCCGCGGUACUACAGAGGUCUCAAGCGUUGUUCGGAAUCACUGGGCGUAAAGCGUGCGUAGGCUGUUUCGUAAGUCGGAUGUGAAAGGCGCGGGCUCAACCCGCGGACGGCACAUGACACUGUGAGACUAGAGUGAUGGAGAGGGAACCGGAACUCUAGGUGUAGCAGUGAAAUGCGUAGAUAUAGAGAGGAACACUAGUGGCGAAGGCGGGUUCCUGGACAUUAACUGACGCUGAGGCACGAAGGCCAGGGGAGCGAAAGGGAUUAGAUACCCCUGUAGUC
rnacentral:rRNA from 1 species